UACAGAGGUCCCAAGCGUUGUUCGGAUUCACUGGGCGUAAAGGGUGCGUAGGUGGUCGCAUAAGUCUGAUGUGAAAGCUCCGGGCUUAACCCGGAAAUGGCAUUAGAAACUAUGCGGCUGGAGGAUUGGAAGGGAGACUGGAAUUCUCGGUGUAGCAGUGAAAUGCGUAGAGAUCGAGAGGAACACCAGUGGCGAAGGCGGGUCUCUGGACAAUCCCUGACACUGAGGCACGAAAGCUAGGGGAGCAAACAGGAUUAGAUACCCUGGUAGUCCUAGCUGUAAACGGUGCACAUUUGCUGUAAGAGGAUUCGACCCCUUUUGUGGCGAAGCUAACGCGUUAAAUGUGCCGCCUGGGAAGUACGAUCGCAAGAUUA
rnacentral:rRNA from 1 species